UUGUGCUUAUUAGAUCCCGAACCAUCCCAGGCUUGCCUGGUUGUUGUUGAUUCAUAAUUUCCGAGCGGAUCGCACGGUUAGUCCGGCGAUGAGGCAAUCAAAUUUCUGACCUAUCAGCUUCCGACGGUAGGGUAUUGGCCUACCGUGGCUUUGACGGGUAACGGGGAAUUAGGGUUCGAUUCCGGAGAGGGAGCCUGAGAAACGGCUACCACAACUAAGGUUGGCAGCAGGCGCGCAAAUUGCCCAAUAGCAACACAUCGCUGAGGCAGCGAAGAGAAAUAGCAACUUCAUGCGGCCCUGCCGUGUGAAGAUUGCCAUGGACGAGAUCUAAACCUGUCGAUGAGUAUCAAUUGGUGGACAAGUCUGGUGCCAGCACCCGCGGUAAUUCCAGCACCAAUAGCGUAUAUUAAUGCUGCUGCUGUUAAAAAGCUCGUAGUUGGAUCAAGAGUUGGACAGUGCACGGUGGCCCCAUUUGUAGUCUUGGUUCCGAUCACGGCUACGGUGGCGGAUCAACCCCGUGCGCCAAACUGUCCACUCUAACAGACCGAAACGGUUCCCUGUGAGUAGGUUCCUUCAUUGGGACUGAAAGCGCUUACGCAUCUACCAUAUGCAUACGGGACGUCGGUCAAAGUUACUGUGAACAAACCAGCGUGUCCAAAACAGGCUUUCGCCUGAAUGUUCGAGCAUGGAAUAACAAGGGAUCGAUUCUCUCGGUUCUUUUUGUUGGUUUUUAACCCGAGAAGGAGUAAUUCAGGCCACGGUGUCUGGGCUGGGUUCCCCUAGGCUCCGGCUUAGGCCCCAGUUAGGCCGUGUUCUUACGGGAUAAAUAGGGACUGACGGGGUCGUACGUACUUCCACGUCAGAGGUGAAAUUCUUAGAUCGUGGGAAGACGAACUUCUGCGAAAGCAUUCGACAAGAAUGUCUUCAUUAAUCAAGAACGAGAGUGUGGGGAUCGAAGAUGAUCAGAUACCGUCGUAGUCCACUACUGUAAACAAUGCCGUCUCAGGAUUGAGAAGUGAACCUAAUGACUUUCACAGCACUAACCCCUGAAACGAGAAAUCAAAGAUUAUGGGUUCAGGGGGGAGUACAUUCGCAAGGCUGAAACUUAAAGGAAUUGACGGAAUGACACCACAAGGCGUGGAGUAUGCGGCUUAAUUUGACUCAACACGGGGAAUUUUACUAGGUCAGGACAAUGUAAGGAUUGACAGAUUGAGAGCUCUUUCUCGAUCCAUUGUGUGGUGGUGCAUGGCCGCUCCUGGUUGGUGGAGUGAUUUGUCUGGUUGAUUCCGUUAACGAACGAGAUCUCGACCCUUAAAUAGGUGCCCGUGUCGAAUGUAGUUUCGCCUCCGCGUACUUGUACGAUUGGAGCGGGACGAGACUGCGGGAAUACUUCUUAAGGU
rnacentral:rRNA from 1 species